ACAGAGUCAGUUUGGAUGAUCUGUGGUUAGCUUGUUCCUCCUCUAAAAAGGGUUCAUAAAAGGUCUAGAUGUGAGAUUACAGACUGCAGACGAGCUUCAGUCGAGUAGAGGAACUUUAGCAGAGUGAGAUUUCAAAGGUUUAACAGAGAGAAGAAGAAGAAGAAGAAGAAGAAGAAGGAUGUUGAAUGUGAAGAUGUUCCUGCUGAUCCUAGCUGUUGGCGCUGCAGUCGUGUUAUCAAACGGACAAAAGGGAGCUGUUGAACAAAAUCCCACGCCAGCUCAAGCACAAAAUGUGUCAAUGCCAACUACUAAAAGCGACUGCUCUCUGUCCACCGCCAGACUCCUCCCCGUCCUCGUGGUCCAGGCCUUCUCGUUUUUGCUCAUGUUUGUUUUCUAAAAAGAGAAGCUUCUUGUCAUGAUUGCAAUCAUAUCAGUUGUGUGUUUCUGUUAAUGUUUUACUGAUGUGUCACACACAUACGCCUUUUUAAAAUCCUGUAGAGAUUCUGGUGCAUGAAAUGUUCUCUGUAAUUCUUCUGUAGUUGCUACUUUCAUGAAAGACUUCUAAACUGAAGCUUCAAAUAAAACCGAUGUUAAGCUCA